UUUUGGGAAGUAAAAGUCGUAACAAGGUUUCCGUAGGUGAACCUGCGGAAGGAUCAUUAUCUAUUUUAAUGGUGUUGGUCGCGGCCCCCGGCGGAAGUGUCCCCGGGCGGKAGAGGUAACACUCUCACGUGGCCACAUGCCUUCAUCCUUUUUUUACGAGCACCUUUCGUUCUCCUUCGGUGGGGCAACCUGCCGUUGGAACCUAUCAAAACCUUUUUUUGCAUUUAGCAUUACCUGUUCUGAUACAAACAAUCGUUACAACUUUCAACAAUGGAUCUCUUGGCUCUGGCAUCGAUGAAGAACGCAGCGAAAUGCGAUAAGUAGUGUGAAUUGCAGAAUUCAGUGAAUCAUCGAAUCUUUGAACGCACAUUGCGCCCCUUGGUAUUCCAUGGGGCAUGCCUGUUCGAGCGUCAUCUACACCCUCAAGCUCUGCUUGGUGUUGGGCGUCUGUCCCGCCUCUGCGCGCGGACUCGCCCCAAAUUCAUUGGCAGCGGUCCUUGCCUCCUCUCGCGCAGCACAUUGCGCUUCUCGAGGUGCGCGGGCCGCGUCCACGAAGCAACAUUACCGUCUUUGACCUCGGAUCAGGUAGGGAUACCCGCUGAACUUUUGCAUAU
rnacentral:rRNA from 1 species